AACAGGAGCCUGGGAAGAGACUUAUCUAUAGCCACGCGGCUGAGUCACUGUUUGCUGAAGGUUGCCUAGAUAUGUCCCAGCAGGCACAGCCCAGGGCCUGCUCCAGCUGCAGACACACCCAGAGUGCCCCAAAGCAGGACAAAGGCAACCCUCCUCCUGGUGCGUGGGGGUGUGGGUGUGGGUGUCCUGGUAAUGGUCUACUCCAGAGAGCAGCCUAUUUAUGGAAAUGUAUGCAAAAGGAAUGCCAAGGACCAAGGAGCCUGUGUUCUGGGUACCAUCUUGUCUGAGCGGCUGGCAGUUGGUCUUUGUAUCCAGGCUGGGUCUUAAAGUCCUCUCGUUGUUCCUGAGCUGCAGGGGAAGCCAGAGCCUGGAGUCUCCUGCCAUGGGGCCACACCAGGCUACAGACAGAAGGAGUCUUUCCUCUGCCCAUUGAAUAGGGAACAGUUCCCCUAUACAUCCCAGAAUGUUCCUGAGAGAUCCAGUAAACCUCAGCUCCAA
rnacentral:sRNA from 1 species